CAGGAGGAAGGUGAGCACGGCAAGGCGGAGGUCGGGGUUCUGGAUGUGAUGCACGUCUCGCCGGGUGACUGGCGCGGCCCGCCAACGGUUGCGUGGUCUGCACUCUGCAGUAGGCGAGGAGGGCAGCUAGACAUGAGGACCAAAAUGAAGAAAAAAAACACAGCAGCAAGCUAGGACGAAAAGGAAAAAACGUUUUGACGGACGACGACGAAGGAAGCACUCCUCCCUUUAUUUAUUAAAUAUAUAUAUAAGGCGU
rnacentral:lncRNA from 1 species